rnacentral:rRNA from 1 species
UACGUAGGGUGCGAGCGUUAAUCGGAAUUACUGGGCGUAAAGCGUGCGCAGGCGGCUCCAUAAGACAGAUGUGAAAGCCCCGGGCUCAACCUGGGAACUGCGUUUGUGACUGUGGAGCUCGAGUACGGCAGAGGGGGGUGGAAUUCCGCGUGUAGCAGUGAAAUGCGUAGAGAUGCGGAGGAACACCGAUGGCGAAGGCAGCCCCCUGGGCCAGUACUGACGCUCAUGCACGAAAGCGUGGGGAGCAAACAGG